rnacentral:lncRNA from 1 species
GCGGCGGUUUCUGAGACUGUGACGACAUGAAGAGGAGUUUCCGUACGGAUCUUCUCACGCCAACGGUGGAGGAGGAAAUACGCGACGGAGAAGAAAACACCGAAGAAAACAGCGUUAGUGACACAGAGAAAAACAGUCUGUGAAUUGAGGUUUUCUCCGGUGGUGGUGGUAGGAAGAGAUUUAAGCUUCUGGGUUUUGAGGUUUUCGCCGCCGGCGGGAGAACGUGGAGGAAGAGAUUUAAGUCUCCGGCGAGCGUCCAUAUUUUUUCCGACGAGUUUUGAAUCUACGAAAAUGCAGAAACAAAAAACGAAGGAGAAAAAUGGAAAGAAAACCCAGAAGCGAAAAACGAGGGAAAGGGUUUUGAAAGUUUUUGUUUGAUU